rnacentral:rRNA from 1 species
AAACGGGUGAGUAACACGUAAACAACCCGCCUUCAGGAUGGGGACAACAGACGGAAACGACUGCUAAUACCGAAUACGUUCCACGGGCCGCAUGACCUGUGGAAGAAAGGGUAGCCUCUACCUGUAAGCUAUCGCCUGAAGAGGGGUUUGCGUCUGAUUAGGCAGUUGGUGGGGUAACGGCCCACCAAACCAACGAUCAGUAGCCGGUCUGAGAGGAUGAACGGCCACACUGGAACUGAGACACGGUCCAG